rnacentral:rRNA from 1 species
UAGAGGGGGGUAGAAUUCCAGGUGUAGCGGUGAAAUGCGUAGAGAUCUGGAGGGAAUACCGGUGGCGAAGGCGGCCCCCCUGGACAAAGACUGACGCUCAGGUGCGAAAGCGUGGGGAGCAAACAGGAUUAGAUACCCUGGUAGUCCACGCCGUAAACGAUGUCGAUUUGGAGGUUGUGCCCUUGAGGCGUGGCUUCCGGAGCUAACGCGUUAAAUCGACCGCCUGGGGAGUACGGCCGCAAGGUUAAAACUCAAAUGAAUUGACGGGGGCCCGCACAAGCGGUGGAGCAUGUGGUUAAUUCGAUGCAACGCGAAGAACCUUACCUGGUCUUGACAUCCACAGAACUUAGCAGAGAUGCAUUGGUGCCUUCGGGAAC